rnacentral:rRNA from 1 species
AUUGAACGCUGGCGGCAGGCCUAACACAUGCAAGUCGAACGAGUGGCGGACGGGUGAGUAAUGUAUGGGAACCUGCCUGAUGGAGGGGGAUAACUACUGGAAACGUUAGCUACUACCGCAUACCAUCAGAGGUGCCCAGAUGUGAUUAGCUAGUGGGUGGGGUAAAGGCGCACCUAGGCGACGAUCACUAGCGGGUCUGAGAGGAUGACCGGCCACACUGGAACUGAGACACGGCCCAGACGCCUACGGGAGGCAGCAGUGGGGAAUAUUGCACAAUGGGCGCAAGCCUGACGCAGACAGGCCGCGUGUAUGAAGAAGGCCUUCGGGUUGUAAAGUACUUUCAUCAGGGAGGCGGUACCCGCAGAAGAAGCAACGGCUAACUCCGUGCCAGCAGCCGCGGUAAUAC